rnacentral:rRNA from 1 species
UACAGAGGGUGCGAGCGUUGUUCGGAAUUACUGGGCGUAAAGCGCGCGCAGGUGGUUUCUUAAGUCUGAUGUGAAAGCCCACGGCUCAACCGUGGAGGGUCAUUGGAAACUGGGAGACUUGAGUGCAGAAGAGGAAAGUGGAAUUCCAUGUGUAGCGGUGAAGUGCGUAGAGAUAUGGAGGAACACCAGUGGCGAAGGCGACUUUCUGGUCUGUAACUGACACUGAGGCGCGAAAGCGUGGGGAGCAAACAGG